rnacentral:rRNA from 1 species
CCUACGGGAGGCAGCAGUAAGGAAUAUUGGUCAAUGGACGCAAGUCUGAACCAGCCAUGCCGCGUGAAGGAUUAAGGUCCUCUGGAUUGUAAACUUCUUUUAUCUGGGACGAAAAAAGGCGAUUCUUCGUCACUUGACGGUACCAGAUGAAUAAGCACCGGCUAACUCCGUGCCAGCAGCCGCGGCAAUACGGAGGGUGCAAGCGUUAUCCGGAUUCACUGGGUUUAAAGGGUGCGUAGGCGGGCAGGUAAGUCAGUGGUGAAAUCCUAGAGCUUAACUCUAGAACUGCCAUUGAUACUAUCUGUCUUGAAUAUUGUGGAGGUAAGCGGAAUAUGUCAUGUAGCGGUGAAAUGCUUAGAUAUGACAUAGAACACCUAUUGCGAAGGCAGCUUACUACGCAUAUAUUGACGCUGAGGCACGAAAGCGUGGGGAUCAAACAGGAUUAGAUACCCUGGUAGUCCACGCCCUAAACGAUGAUUACUCGACAUUUGUGAUACACUAUAAGUGUCUGAGCGAAAGCAUUAAGUAAUCCACCUGGGAAGUACGACCGCAAGGUUGAAACGUUCAAAGAGUAGUAGGACGUGAGAGAGCGACGACGGACGACACGGAGGGAGGAG